ensembl:lncRNA
CUGUAACAUACUGUACAAGGCAUAAUUUCAGCUGGAUCUACUGUAUAAUGCAAUAUACUCCAUUGGCACACAGAGAGUCGUCAACACUGUCUGUGUCAACAGCCUUCAAACCAUGAAGGCUUAGUGUAGCAAUGUUUUUACUAAAGAGUGUUUCUCUUUAAAUACAGAACGUAAGAGUGAAAGUAAACUGCAUAAAAAUGUUGAUGAUAUUGAAACUCAGACAUCCUCUUCAGAAAGCCUUAAUGUUUGGCAUGAUUGUAGCUAAAAUACUUAUUCUUAGAGCCUGGAAAUCACCAUCUCCUCCAUUGUUCAGGGUUUGGCUACGUGAGAUGAUUGCUUGUUUGUAUAUUGAAGAGGUUCGUUAUCGUUUGGCUGACACCCAUUUUAAGUUUGUCGGAAUCUGGGGCCCUUUUCUCAAUCAUAUUAAUGUGAAUUCAACAUAAACUUUAACCCAUUUGACUGCACUUUGUGUUUUUGUGAAACUGCACUUCUGUCGGGCCCUGAUUCCUUCCUGGACUUGUUUCCCACAUUUUUUGGUCUUGGUGAACUCUCUGUUGCCCUGUCUAAACUCACACAGAAGAUCAUCUUCUUUGUACAAUGGUGUUUCUUUUGAACUUUUGAAUUGUACUGGCUAACCGGUGUAUUUUAUUUUAUUUUUUUUUUAUUCAUUUAAUUAUUUAUUUAUUUAUUUUUUAUUUAUAUAAUUUUUUUUCCUUUUCUUUCCUGUUUUCCUGUUGGGUUUUUUUUGUUGCGUGUUUGGUUUCUGGUUUCUGGUUUUUCUUUUCUUUUUUUUCUGUGCUUAAAUGUUAUUGUUUUUGAAUCUUAUGUCCUUUGUCUGGUGUGACGUUAUGUAACUUUGAACUUAAAAUCUUAUAAAUAAACAUUUAAAAAAAAUGUUGAUGAUGUUUUAAAAUCCUUCCAAUGUGUACACUAAGGGUGUGCUGAGUAUCUGUCAGGAAGCUUUAAAGAUGCAGGUUUUAUUACAUCUGAAGGUGACUAAGUCCCCAGGAAUUUAUACUAGUCAGUAAUGUAAACAGUCAUGUCAUUUAUUCCUCCUGGGAAAUCAUCAGGUGACUUCACAAUGAUCUGGUUUUGUCGACUUGGAAAGCUGCGAGAGGAGCCACCACAGAGACUGAUCAUGUUGUCAAGUUGAAAGAACAUUUACUGCUAACAAGUCACCUGACCCAAGUAAACAGUUCUGCCUUUAUCUAAGAUCUGAAAAGUGGUGCCUUUUAUCCAUUUAACAUUAGGAAGAGAUUGCAACUUUGUGGUGUAUCUAGUCUGGUAACAGUCAAGAAAAAUAGGCACUUAGUUUGCACAUGCUGUUUCAUCUCUGUCACAAACGCUCAGAUUUAUUGGCACAUAAAAAUAAACAUAUUUAGUUUGCUACACUCAGCAGUAACUGUGGUAAGAAACUGCUUUUGGAUAGUUAAUUUAACAAUAAUAAAGUACAAGUACAGACCAAUAACCACAACAAAAUAAACAUUUAUUUUAGGUUGAGCUUUGCAGAAAUUGCCAUGUUUGUCUGACAAGAAAAGUCAAACUGUGAACAAGAAUUUACCUUCUUUGAUCUGGAUAACCAUCUAUUAUAUUUUAUCUUUCUAUUUUUUUUAAUCAAAACAAUCAAAAACUGUUGGUAUCUUUACU